UACGGAGGAGGCAAGCGUUAUCCGGAAUUAUUGGGCGUAAAGCGUCCGCAGGUGGCACUUCAAGUCUGCCGUCAAAGACCGGGGCUUAACCCACGAAAGGCAGGUGGAAGACUGAAGCGCUAGAGUGCGGUAGGGGUAGAGGGAAUUCCCGGUGUAGCGGUGAAAUGCGUAGAUAUCAGGAGGAACACCUGUGGCGAAAGCGGCUCACUGGACCACAACUGACGCUGAUGCACGAAAGCUAGGGGAGCAAACAGG
rnacentral:rRNA from 1 species